GCUUUGUCUGCGCAGGAUAGGUGGGAGGCGUUGAAAGUUUUCUUGCGGGAAGAUUUGAGCCAUUGGUGAGAUACCACUCUAACAAUGCUAGGAUUCUAACCCUAUGUCGUUAUCCGGCUAGGGGACAGUUUCAGGUGGUCAGUUUGACUGGGGCGGUCGCCUCCUAAAAGGUAACGGAGGCGUGCAAAGGUUCCCUCAGGCUGGUUGGAAAUCAGUCGUAGAGUGUAAAGGCAUAAGGGAGCUUGAUUGUGAGACCUACAAGUCGAACAAAGACGAAAGUCGGCCUUAGUGAUCCGGCGGUACCGAGUGGAAGGGCCGUCGCUCAACGGAUAAAAGUUACUCUAGGGAUAACA
rnacentral:rRNA from 1 species